GACGAACGCUGGCGGCGUGCCUAAUACAUGCAAGUCGAGCGGAAAUUUUGGAGCUUGCUCCAAAAUUUUAGCGGCGGACGGGUGAGUAACACGUGGGCAACCUGCCCUGCAGAUCGGGAUAACUCCGGGAAACCGGUGCUAAUACCGAAUAGUUUGUUUCACCUCCUGGUGAAACACGGAAAGACGGUUUCGGCUGUCACUGCAGGAUGGGCCCGCGGCGCAUUAGCUAGUUGGUGGGGUAAUGGCCCACCAAGGCGACGAUGCGUAGCCGACCUGAGAGGGUGAUCGGCCACACUGGGACUGAGACACGGCCCAGACUCCUACGGGAGGCAGCAGUAGGGAAUCUUCCGCAAUGGACGAAAGUCUGACGGAGCAACGCCGCGUGAGUGACGAAGGUUUUCGGAUCGUAAAACUCUGUUGUGAGGGAAGAACAAGUACCAACUAACUACUGGUACC
rnacentral:rRNA from 1 species